rnacentral:misc_RNA from 1 species
GAGUAUCAUGCCCUCACGGGUAGAUCUCCACCCUUGAAUAACAUACCUCUGUUGCUUUGGCAGGCCCCAUUUCCAGCGGCCUCGGCUGUUGAGUGCCUGCCAGAGGACCACAACUCUGUAAUAAAUGUCGUCGGAGUACUAUAAAAUAGUUAAAACUUUCAACAACGGAUCUCUUGGUUCU